AUGAACGCUAGCGACAGGCCUAACACAUGCAAGUCGAGGGGCAGCACAAGGAGCAAUCUGAGGUGGCGACCGGCGCACGGGUGAGUAACACGUAUGCAACCUGCCUGUAAGCGGGGAAUAACCCGUUGAAAGACGGACUAAUACCGCAUAAUACUAAAUUACUGCAUGGUAAUUUAUUUAAACAUUUAUGGCUUACAGAUGGGCAUGCGCAUGAUUAGCUAGUUGGAGAGGUAACGGCUCCCCAAGGCAACGAUCAUUAGGGGUUCUGAGAGGAAGGUCCCCCACACUGGUACUGAGACACGGACCAGACUCCUACGGGAGGCAGCAGUGAGGAAUAUUGGUCAAUGGACGAGAGUCUGAACCAGCCAAAUCGCGUGCAGGAAGAAUGUCCUUAAUGGAUUGUAAACUGCUUUUGCAGGGGAAUAAAGUGCAUCACGUGUGAUGUUUUGUAUGUACUCUGCGAAUAAGGAUCGGCUAACUCCGUGCCAGCCGCUGC
rnacentral:rRNA from 1 species